AUACGUAGGGGGCGAGCGUUGUCCGGAAUGAUUGGGCGUAAAGGGCGCGUAGGCGGCCCGGUAAGUCUGGAGUGAAAGUCCUGUUUUUAAGAUGGGAAUUGCUUUGGAUACUGUCGGGCUUGAGUGCAGGAGAGGUAAGUGGAAUUCCCAGUGUAGCGGUGAAAUGCGUAGAGAUUGGGAGGAACACCAGUGGCGAAGGCGACUUACUGGACUGUAACUGAAGCUGAGGCGCGAAAGUGUGGGGAGCAAACAGGAUUAUAUACCCUGGUAGUCCACACUGUAAACGAUGAAUGCUAGGUGUAGGGGGUAUCGACCCCUUCUGUGCCGCAGUCAACACAAUAAGCAUUCCGCCUGGGGAGUACGGCCGCAAGGUUGAAACUCAAAUGAAUUGACGGGG
rnacentral:rRNA from 1 species